rnacentral:rRNA from 1 species
CCUACGGGAGGCAGCAGUGAGGAAUAUUGGUCAAUGGGCGAGAGCCUGAACCAGCCAAGUAGCGUGCAGGACGACGGCCCUAUGGGUUGUAAACUGCUUUUAUGCGGGGAUAAAACGCGGGACGUGUCCCGCCUUGCAGGUACCGCAUGAAUAAGGACCGGCUAAUUCCGUGCCAGCAGCCGCGGUAAUACGGAAGGUCCGGGCGUUAUCCGGAUUUAUUGGGUUUAAAGGGAGCGUAGGCCGCUUUGUAAGCGUGUUGUGAAAUUUGCCGGCUCAACCGGUAACUUGCAGCGCGAACUGCAGAGCUUGAGUGUGCGCAACGUUGGCGGAAUUCGUCGUGUAGCGGUGAAAUGCUUAGAUAUGACGAAGAACUCCGAUUGCGAAGGCAGCUGACGGGAGCACUACUGACGCUGAAGCUCGAAAGUGCGGGUAUCGAACAGGAUUAGAUACCCUGGUAGUCCGCACGGUAAACGAUGGAUGCCCGCUGUUUGCACAUAGUUGCAAGCGGCCAAGCGAAAGCGUUAAGCAUCCCACCUGGGGAGUACGCCGGCAACGGUGAAACUCAAAUGAAUUGACGGGGA